rnacentral:piRNA from 1 species
UAAGCCAUUGGUGUUUUUGUUCAGGAAAUU